AGAAACAUCACAUUUCUACUGUAGCUUUACGUGUUGUAAAUGCACAACAUUAGUGGGUUCCUACCCCUUGGCAAUUACAGUCCAAGUGACUCAGUUACAUAGUGAAGGGGGUAAAAUAAAUCCCUGAACUUCUCUCCACUAGAGAAGCAAGUGGUGAAGCAAUAUCCCAUCCUUUACCACAUUUUACCUUUAGCCACUGUUUCAUACCAGUUGGGAAAUCAAAGUUUCAUCAUACGGCCCUCCUGGUAGAUACUUGGAAGAAUUACAACACACUUUAGCAUGUUUAGAAAUGUCCUUUUCCCUGCCCACAUAUUAUAAAGACAUAAUUGCAUAGUGGGAGCCUUGGAAAAGUUUUAAAUCUCUUCUGUGAAUGAGGAGAAGUGCAGACAUGUUGGCCAAGUUGAUCAUUUUCAUGGUGGAUCUCACCCUUGCUUUGGCCACUUUUGGUCUCCUCUUUGCUGUUUCCUUAAUAGCAACCACAGGUAUAUUCAUCUUCGUCCUCUUCUAUCUCUUCAAAGGGAUGGACAAACACUGUGACUUCAGCAAGGGCAGAGUCUGGGUGCUGGAUUCCAGCAGUGCUACUGGGAAGGCAUUUGCAGGCAACAUGGGGAGAGUCAGGUCCGGGAUGCUCCCCGUCCAUUUUCCAGCUGCAAGAGAAGAGGCGCAAGGAGCGUGUUUUUGUCUGCUAGAGAGCGAGGAGCUCUCUGUGGUGGAGGAGGUGUGUGGGAGAACCUGCAGAAUGUCUCACCCACCCAACGGAGAGGUCAUUCAAACUGCCAUCUACACAUGAAUAACAAAGAAAUUCUCAUAAACAAGCAGAAAUACCCAAGAGGCAUGAAGAGUUUUAAUACUUCAAAAAUGUGGGUCUUAUGACAGUACAGAUGCAGAAAAGACAGAUUUUAGAACUCUAAAAACUCAGCCUUGGAGAGGAUAAACAUGCUAGUCAACAACAUAGUACUGAAACUUGUCGAAAUGCCUUUGGAGUUUGAAAUAUCUAGAGCCGCCAAAAUGUUCAAGAGUGAAAUUGAAAAAUGUUUCUUCCAAAUGCCUAAGCCAACCAAACGUGAGCAUAUUUGCCAUCAUGGCCAAACCGACCAUUGCUUUUGCUGGUCUCAGCCUGGGCCAAGUGGGGCACCCUUCACUACCCGACUGAAGACCAGUGUCAAAUCCGUGCUUCCUUCUACUUUGCCCAGAUGGGAUUUCUCUCUCCACCAUGACACCCUGUCAAUACUGUACUUGUCACACAUCACAUUCAUUGUUUUAUGUGGUUUGUUUAUUUGUUGUUUUUCCUAUCUCACCCUUAGAUUAUCCUUAAACUUUAGCAAUUGCUUCUCAGCUGCUCUGUAUGGUCAGCAGUGCCAAUCCAAGUGCUGUGAAUAUUAAUAAACACGUUUCUGAAUCAAUAAAGCCCCAAGAAAUCUACAGCUACAGGGAUAAAUGCUGUAUAUUGCAAAGAAAGGUGAAAAUGAAUGAAGGAGGACCAUCAGCUGAGGAGUGAGCUUAUCAGAGUCCUCAAACAUUCAAUAGGAAGGAGCGGAAGUUAGAGUCCUAAACAUUUGUUCAUGUCUUACUAACGGUUAAUUCCUUAAGAGUAGUCAGCAGCAGAAUUCUAGAUUUUAGAAUUCUAGUUCCUACCUUUGUUACUUGGAAGUGAAGAAGAGACUAUGAUAGUGCCAGAAGAACAGCUGGGCUGGUAAGAUGUCUAAGGAGCCUCUGGGAAAGGAGAAGCAGGGGAAGCUUCGCAUCCUGGACUGUGGACUUAACCAGAACUGGAUUCUCCAGAAAGCUGAGAUGGACACAGGGGUGUGUAUCCAGGAAGUUUACUUUGGGAAGUUCCAUCCCAAGGAACUGGACUGGGAGACUGGAAAGAGUAAUACAAGGAAAGUAUGUUAUCAGGCUCAACAGUACCAUGGGCAAUUGGAGCUCCAUCUUCCAAGGGGUACUCUGAGAAGGUACAGAGAACACACCUCAAAGUUGUCCACCAGAAGGAGAAGGAGAAACUAUCCAUCACCUUUCUUUUUCCCUUGGUCAAGUUAUGGGGGCAGGCGGACACUGUUCAUGACCUUGCACUUCCAGGAUUGCACCUGCUUCAGAAUAGCUGAAUGGUGUCCAGAAGGUAUCUUUAGACAUGGCAAAGGAGAAGCUGCUGAGCAGAAAGCAAGAGAUAAGUGCUGCCACUGAUGUAGGGUGCAGGCUGGUGACCCCUUCACCAAGCAGGUUGCUAUAAAAAGGUGGGCAAAGAGGAUGUGAUCAAGGGCACAAGAGGGGCCUGCCACCAGGUCUUAGAAGUACAUGAGUCUAAUGCAAAUCUGUCUGUCCUGGCAAUCAUGAGCACAGGAUCAUACCAAUCCCUUCUGAACAAAAGUCAAAGAAAGGGGCAUGAAGACCAAGGAGUAGCCAGAGAGAGAACAGUUGGGGAGUGGAAGAAGCCAGAGGAUCAGGAACAUAGCCCUUGCCUAGAACCAAACUCCGCCUUUUCUAUGCUUCAAACACAGACCAACACCUAGGUGGGAGUUUUUCUUUCUCCCUAUUAACAUUUUUUAAAGAUUUUAUUUAUUUAUUCGAGAGAGAGAGAGAAUGAGAGAUAGAGAGCAUGAGAGGGGGGAGGGUCAGAGGGAGAAGCAGACUCCCUGCUGAGCAGGGAGCCCGAUGUGGGACUCAAUCCCGGGACUCCAGGAUCAUGACCUGAGCCGAAGGCAGUCGCUUAACCAACUGAGCCACCCAGGUGCCCCCUAUUAACAUUUUUGAUAUUUGGUUGCUACUCAUUUCAACUUGCCAACUCUGACACAGCCAUGCCAUCUGCCAGCCAUUUUUUACCUGCUCCUUAAUUUACUUGAUUGCUUUCGGUGCUCUGAGUUUUAGGGAAAGCUUUUGGCUUUUUCUGCUCAUAACCUGUCUUAGUUUGGGUUGCUCCAAAGCUGACCCUGAGGAAAGAAUGUGGGUACAAGUAGUUGAUUCCUGGGGGUACGAGUGACCCCAGGAAGUGCUGUGAGUGGGGAGGGAGAGCAGGGAGGAAGGCAGCCAGUAAGGGUGUGUGCAUGAGCAGGUUAUUGGCAUCCAGGUUUUCUGGGAGUUUGCCGCACCGAGGGACAGGGAAGCUGGGGUGUCUAUGCACGGGCUCCAAUUCCUGACGAGCCCACUGUAGUUCCUAGCUGCCCUGCACACAGGCAGAGCAAGCUCCCCUCAUGCUAAGAAAGCCUCCAGACAGAGAAAGCAAGCAGAGGAAUGUGGAUGGUUGAGGGGAAAGUGAUAGUGUAUACUACAGCGUCAAGGAAUCCAGAAGAUGGCAGAAGGAUCUAGACGGGGACAUCGGUAGCUUCUACUACACACUCUGAGAUGAUGUUGCAAAGGGCAGAAUGUCCAAACAUGGAGAAAAACAACAGCAGCAACCCCCUGGUGGCAUCUAGAUGGAAAGAAUAGUUCAUUAGUACAGUGUCCGAAGGAAUUAAAAUUAGCUUUGAAACGGAGAUUAUUUAUUCAACUUUGCAGACAAGAACUUCACAAUGGCCUUGAAUCUCCUUAAGAAAAAUCUCCUUUGCUAUUACUGAAGAACAAAUUGGGAAAGAAACCAACAUGUUUAUUGCUUUGGCCUAAAAACGAAGGACCUCACCCCUGUUAAAUACCAACUGCUUGGCUCUGUUCCUACGUGAACACAUGGAAACCUGGUUUGGGACAGGGGUGAUUCUCUUGUACUAGUCAUUGCUCUGGACCACCACCAACGUGGAGUCACUCAAAGAUCAGAAGGGGUUUCACCUUUUUUUUCUCCACCCAAUGCUUUCUGUUGGAAAAGCUCAAUGACGAUGUAUGCAACUCGCUGAGGAUUCAGUGGACUUCACUGUGGAUGGAAGACUGCAUGGAGAACAAAAGAGAGACUACAAAGGAAAAACUUUCAGUGGCUUCAUAGAUUAAAAAUUCACCCUGAUUCCUCAUUUUCUUUACUCACCUCUGCCACAGACUUUGAGUGAGAUGAGACAGCUGUUCCUUCUGACCUGGGCUUGGCCACAUAGCAGACAUGACAUAAACCUGAAUGUUGGGCUGGUCUUCUUGGCCAUUGUGCUCUUCCAUGAGAAGAACAUGUCCUCAGUAACUGCCAACUCCUCAACCCCAGCUGGGAGCUUUCGUCGUGAAACACAACAGCUGAAGUAAAGCUGCCCAGACAAGGCUAUUCUAGAUGAGACAAGAGCAGUCAACCAGAGAACUCAAGCAUGCGGACAGAUGCUUACAGUUGUAAACCUCUGAAUUUUGGAGUGAGUUUAUUAUGCAGCAUAAGGGUGGCAUUAUAAAAGUUCUCAAUAAAUACCAAGGCUUUCAUUA